GAUGAACGCUGGCGGCGUGCCUAAUACAUGCAAGUCGAGCGAACAGACGAGGAGCUUGCUCCUCUGACGUUAGCGGCGGACGGGUGAGUAACACGUGGAUAACCUACCUAUAAGACUGGGAUAACUUCGGGAAACCGGAGCUAAUACCGGAUAACAUGAUGAACCGCAUGGUUCAACAGUGAAAGACGGUCUUGCUGUCACUUAUAGAUGGAUCCGCGCCGCAUUAGCUAGUUGGUAAGGUAACGGCUUACCAAGGCAACGAUGCGUAGCCGACCUGAGAGGGUGAUCGGCCACACUGGAACUGAGACACGGUCCAGACUCCUACGGGAGGCAGCAGUAGGGAAUCUUCCGCAAUGGGCGAAAGCCUGACGGAGCAACGCCGCGUGAGUGAAGAAGGUCUUCGGAUCGUAAAACUCUGUUAUUAGGGAAGAACAAAUGUGUAAGUAACUAUGCACGUCUUGACGGUACCUAAUCAGAAAGCCACGGCUAACUACGUG
rnacentral:rRNA from 1 species